GAGGAAAGCUGGCGGCGUGCCUAAUACAUGCAAGUCGAGCGAACAGACGAGGAGCUUGCUCCUCUGACGUUAGCGGCGGACGGGUGAGUAACACGUGGAUAACCUACCUAUAAGACUGGGAUAACUUCGGGAAACCGGAGCUAAUACCGGAUAAUAUAUUGAACCGCAUGGUUCAAUAGUGAAAGACGGUUUUGCUGUCACUUAUAGAUGGAUCCGCGCCGCAUUAGCUAGUUGGUAAGGUAACGGCUUACCAAGGCAACGAUGCGUAGCCGACCUGAGAGGGUGAUCGGCCACACUGGAACUGAGACACGGUCCAGACUCCUACGGGAGGCAGCAGUAGGGAAUCUUCCGCAAUGGGCGAAAGCUUGACGGAGCAACGCCGCGUGAGUGAUGAAGGUCUUCGGAUCGUAAAACUCUGUUAUUAGGGAAGAACAAAUGUGUAAGUAACUAUGCACGUCUUGACGGUACCUAAUCAGAAAGCCACGGCUAACUACGUG
rnacentral:rRNA from 1 species